rnacentral:tRNA from 1 species
GUGGGUAUGGCGGAAUAGGCAGACGCGCUAGCCUCAGACGCUAGUGAGUAAAAUCGUGCAGGUUCAAGUCCUGUUACCCACACCA